rnacentral:lncRNA from 1 species
UUUUUUUUUUCUUUCCUUUUUUUGUCUUUUUAGGCAAAAAAGUUCCUGGCUAAUGGAGUUCCCAGGCUAUGGGUCAAAUAGGAGCUGUAGCUGCUGGCCUACACCACAACCAAAGCAACACCAGAUACUAGCCACAUCCGUGACCUACACCACAGGUUACAGCAAUGCCAGACUCUUAAUCCACUGAACUGAGGAUAGGGAUUGAACCUGCAUCCUCUUGGAUUCUAGUCAGAUUCAUUUCUGCUGAACCAUGAUGGGAACUCCCCAUAUGGUGACCUUUUAAAUCAAUCCUACAAGAACAGUGCAAAAAACAGAAAAUACUGUAUGAACAUAGAUGAUAACUACAGUAUUUAAGAGCUAGAAACCUAAAUGGUCGAGGAAUAGAAAUAUGAGGUUAAAGAUAAAACACUUUGAUGGAAUGUUUUCAGACAUUAACAUCAUUGUGAAGACCAUGCAGGACAAUGAAUGCCUAUUACUAUGUUACGGAACAAAGAAAAUAAAAACUUCCCUAAGUCUAAAGACAGAAUAUAUAUACAGACAGGAAGAAGGCCAUUUAAAAAAUCUAAUGAUAGGGUGGGAUUAGAAGUGAAUGGUGAAGUCCACUUUGAUCUGUAAAGUUUGAAAAUAAUACAAAACAAAAUACAAUCUUUGUUUUCUGCCACAUCCCAGCUUUUAAGGCCUUUUAGAUGUUCCUAAAUCUAUAAAGGACUAGCACCCCAUACAAUUCUGAUAUGCAGCUAAUUCUAGAAACCUUGACCAACUGGCUUCACAGUUUUCCCAAUGUAAUUUUUAAUCAGUCAUCCUCUCCAAAUUGGUUUACUCACUGUCCCAAACAUAGCUUUUCUUACGUAACUGCAUCCUUGCUCACAAUCUCCAUUCACUUAGAAUGACUUCCCUUCUUCUAAUUUUACAUACUACAUACCACUAACCUUGAAAAGCCUUCAAUGAUGGCUCAACAAAUGAUGGCUUUUUGUUGGUACUACAACACAAUUUGUGUUUUUAAAAACAAUUAGAGCUAACUGUGUACUGAUCUUUUGACAAAUCAAUUUUUGUAGGGAGCCAUGAUUUAAAACUUUAAAAAGUUCAAUUAAUCUAAACUGACCAAACCUUUCGAAGUAACUAUAUUAACUUCCACAUAUUUAAUUACGGUCUUCCCUUUACUGAUAGUAAGCUCCUGGAGCACAGGUCCUUGCCAGGAAGGAAUGCUACAAAGUAACCUAGAUGACUUGAAUCCAAAUUCUAACAUAUGCUCUUGUUUGCAUCAUAUAUGAAAGAAACUCAGUGUCUAUGAAUGGUCAUAAAAUACGCACUGAUAUCUAGGGCACAAGACAAUGUAGAAAUAGCAAAGGGUGCUAAUAAGCAAAUCAUUUAACUUUCCAAAAAAAUUUAACAAAAUCAUUAGGAAAGCAGCUACAUUCAACAAAACAAUGUUCCACUUUUCAACAUACAGACAUUUACAGAAAUAACUUCACAGUGGAACAAAUCCUAUCAUUUUUCAAAAGCAAACAUAUAAUAGUAACAUGGCCAAUCUUGAUUACUAAUGAAUAGUUAAGUAAAACUGCAUACCAGAAAUAGAAUUUUCAACAGAUAGCUGAUCCAGGUCUUUUAAAAUCUGGAACACUUUCCUUCAUGUUUCCUCGAAAUAAGGCUUACUCUAGAAGACAAAGACUUUUCUUACUUUUGAGUUUUUUACAUAACCCACACACUCAUAACAGACUGUUUUGCUUCACUUCUUUUUUUUCUUUUUAGGGCUGCAUUUGCAGCAUAUAGAAGUUCCCAGUAACAUGUGUUAUUUGGAUCAGAUAAUAACAGUCUUAAGUUAGGUAGUGGAAUUAUAGGUGAUUACCCCCAGGGGAAGUUGAGCAGUUUUAUAUGUUUUAUAAUUUCUUUACCAAAAAAAAAAAAAAUCACUUCUCAACUCUUACUGAAAUAUCUUUUCUAUAUGCCAAAAUUUUAAAUAUGGAGGAAAAAAAUCAUGAAAAUGUUCACACUGUUUCUUGAUAAAAAUAUGAAGCACUUAAAAAAUCCAGAAAUGGGAAAGGCAUAAUUGAGUAAACAGACUCAUAAGUAUGUCCUAAUCUGGGGACUUCAUUCUAAAGUAUCACAUCAGGAAGCUAGUUAUACAGACUUAUUUGAACCUUUGACCAAACAAACACUUUUCAACUACCAUUUUUUCAUUUUGCUAUUUAUGGUUCUACUUACUGGUCCACAGAAAAACUUUUUCAGGCAGGCUCACCUCAGUAAUACUUUCGGGUAUUUGUCACUGAACUGUCCUGUUUUCUUCUGACCAACUGCCAAAAAAAAAAUCUCAAUAAAUUAUUAAAUCAUUCAAUCAUUUUCUAGUCUGGAGCCCCAUGAAUAAGAGGGUUCAAAUCAAGAAUAUUAUGAAGAUAAUUUUAUGCAGUUAUUUAGAUCAGUGUGACAAGGUCAUUCGAUAGAAAAACUAACAUGCAUUUAUUUUAACUAAGAAAUUACUUUUCUAGUAAUUCUAAGAAAAGGCACUAUUGUGAAUGAAAAAUUGACUCAAUUAAGAUAUUCUCCUAACGAGUAAAUGUAGUCAAUGUGGACUACCAUUGAUUUUUACAUAUUUAAUUAUUUCAUUCUUUAACUCAACUUGCUAAUUAAUACUUUAUUUCCACAAUUUCAAAUGUAAUUUUGUUCUAUUGAAAACAACACAAGAUCACAACAAGCUCAACGGCUGCCUUGAACAAAGUCCUACCGGGGAGGACCUUUCCUCUAAGGAGUGAUGAUAAGGGUUAGGUCAGGAGUUUUCAGUCCCUGUAUUUCCUCCCCCAAAGUAGCAUAAGGCUCCAGAAGGGUGGCACAGCUGCACGUCUAAAGUAGCAGGGCUGCUGCCAAGAGAAUUCCUCAGCGCCCCAAACCCAGUUUCCUUAUUGCCUCAUCGCGGGAGGAGCACGCGGAAACACCUCUCCCCAGGUAGGGAGGGUCUAAGAACCUUACCUUCCCCGUCUUCCUGAAAAAGGAGCCUAUAACUGGUGACACUCGAUCACAGAGUAUGACAAGCUGCCGAAACCCACUUCCAAAGAAGGGAAGUACUGCUCCCAGAGAAGAGGAGCCCAAAGGAUCGGCCAGGAAAAAAAGACCAGCUCGUCUCCUCCGCCUCUUUCUCUUUGGCAGCGGGAGAGGAAGCCUCGCCCCCUCUCAACCCGCCUCCCGGCUCCCCUCCCCGCCGCAGGGAGAACAUACCCGGCCAUGGCUGCCGCGCGGCCCCCUCACUUCCGGUGCCGGUGCCUCCAAUGCUGCGCCAUCCCCCAGCCCACCGGACAACCACAGCUUCGAACUGACCUUUCCGGCAGAUCGCGACUCUUCCAACGUUCACUAGGUUUUGUCCUGGAGAGAACGGUGGAUGGGUGCCGCAGAAAAACGAAUCUACAGACUAAAGAAUCCGCUCUCGUCUGGCCAGAAACAUAAAAAGCGAU